UACGAAGGGGGCUAGCGUUGUUCGGAAUUACUGGGCGUAAAGCGCGUGUAGGCGGUUGUGCAAGUUGUAUGUGAAAGCCUUGAGCUUAACUCAAGAAAUGCAUUCAGGACUGGAUGACUAGAGGACCGGAGAGGAUAGUGGAAUUCCCAGUGUAGUGGUGAAAUACGUAGAGAUUGGGAAGAACACCAGUGGCGAAGGCGGCUAUCUGGACGGUUUCUGACGCUAAGACGCGAAAGCGUGGGGAGCAAACAGG
rnacentral:rRNA from 1 species